rnacentral:rRNA from 1 species
GAUGAACGCUAGCUACAGGCUUAACACAUGCAAGUCGAGGGGAAACGAUGAGAGAGCUUGCUCUCUUAGUCGUCGACCGGCGCACGGGUGAGUAACGCGUAUCCAACCUGCCUCUGACCAAGGGAUAACCCGUCGAAAGUCGGACUAAUACCUUAUGCAGUCGUCGGAAGUCAUCUGAUGACGACGAAAGAUUUCAUCGGUGAGAGAUGGGGAUGCGUCUGACUAGCUUGUUGGCGGGGUAACGGCCCACCAAGGCGACGAUCAGUAGGGGUUCUGAGAGGAAGGUCCCCCACAUUGGAACUGAGACACGGUCCAAACUCCUACGGGAGGCAGCAGUGAGGAAUAUUGGUCAAUGGGCGUAAGCCUGAACCAGCCAAGUAGCGUGCAGGAUGACGGCCCUAUGGGUUGUAAACUGCUUUUAUGCGGGGAUAAAGUGAGGGACGUGUCCUUCAUUGCAGGUACCGCAUGAAUAAGGACCGGCUAAUUCCGUG